rnacentral:rRNA from 1 species
AUUGAACGCUGGCGGCAGGCCUAACACAUGCAAGUCGAGCGGAGCGGCGGACGGGGGAGUAAUGCCUAGGAAUAUGCCUGGUAUUGGGGGAUAACGUCCGGAAACGGGCGCUAAUACCGCAUACUAUCAGAUGAGCGUAGGUCGGAUUAGCUAGUUGGUGGGGUAACGGCCUACCAAGGCGACGAUCCGUAACUGGUCUGAGAGGAUGAUCAGGCAAACUGGAACUGAGACACGGUCCAGACUACUACGGGAGGCAGAAGUGGGGAAUAUUGGACAAUGGGCGAAAGCCUCAUCCAGCCAUGCCGCUUGUGUGAAGCCGGUCUUCGGGUUGUAAAGCACUGUAAGUUCCGAGGCGUCACCAGCAGAAUAAGCACCGGCUAACUUCGUGCCAGCAGCCGCGGUAAUAC